rfam:Oryza sativa Japonica Group DNA, chromosome 10, cultivar: Nipponbare, complete sequence.
UAGUUUUGUCCCAAGUCAAAACUUCUUUAACUUUGACUAAGUUCAUAGAAAAAUGCACCAGUAUCGAAAAUAACAAAUAAAUGCACUGUCAUGGUGGUUUUAAUGAAACUAAUUUGAUAUUGUAGAUGUUGGUGCAUUUUUUCUAGGAAUUUGGUCAAAGUUAGAGAAUUUUGACUUGGGACAAAAUUAA